UGGGGAAUAUUGCACACUGGAGGGAACUCUGAUGCAGCGACGCCGCGUGAACGAAGAAGGCUUUCGAGUCGUAAAGUUCUUUUAUAUGGGAAGAUAAUGACGGUACCAUAAUAAAAAGCCCCGGCUAACUACGUGCCAGCAGCCGCGGUAAUACGUAGGGGGCUAGCGUUGUCCGGAAUCACUGGGCGUAAAGGGUUCGCAGGCGGAAAUGCAAGUCAGGUGUAAAAGGCAGUAGCUUAACUACUGUAAGCAUUUGAAACUGCAUAUCUUGAGAAGAGUAGAGGUAAGUGGAAUUGUUAGUGUAGCGGUGAAAUGCGUAGAUAUUAAAAAGAAUACCGGUGGCGAAGGCGACUUACUGGGCUCAUUCUGACGCUGAGGAACGAAAGCGUGGGUAGCAAACAGG
rnacentral:rRNA from 1 species